rnacentral:rRNA from 1 species
UACGUAGGCAGCAAGCGUUGUUCGGAGUUACUGGGCGUAAAGGGUGUGUAGGCGGUUGUUUAAGUUUGGUGUGAAAUCUCCCGGCUCAACCGGGAGGGUGCGCCGAAUACUGAGUGACUAGAGUGCGGGAGAGGAAAGUGGAAUUCCUGGUGUAGCGGUGAAAUGCGUAGAUAUCAGGAGGAACACCGGUGGUGUAGACGGCUUUCUGGACCGUAACUGACGCUGAGACGCGAAAGCGUGGGGAGCGAACAGG